AUUACUCCCAAAAGCAGUAUAGAUUAGAAGUGGGGAUAUGAGUUUUGGUUGUCUUAAGCUUCUGUGUGUAUGUAAUGCAUAAUUAAUUAUUAGAGAUACAAGAAGUUGUGAUCUAGUAAUUAAGGAUAGGCUUUCUUCACCGAGAAGUCGGUUUUAAGUACUUUAGAUAGUGUGACAUUGACAUUAAUGAAGAAGUAGAAUUCGUUUAUACAUGAGAGUGAACUAGGUG
rnacentral:lncRNA from 1 species